UGCAAGUCGAACGCUGAAGCCCUUCGGGGUGGAUGAGUGGCGAACGGGUGAGUAACACGUGGGUAAUCUGCCCUGCACUCUGGGAUAAGCCUUGGAAACGGGGUCUAAUACCGGAUAGGACACGUGGCCGCAUGGUCUGCGUGUGGAAAGUUCCGGCGGUGCAGGUUGAGCCCGCGGCCUAUCAGCUUGUUGGUGGGGUGAUGGCCUACCAAGGCGACGACGGGUAGCCGGCCUGAGAGGGUGACCGGCCACACUGGGACUGAGACACGGCCCAGACUCCUACGGGAGGCAGCAGUGGGGAAUCUUGCGCAAUGGGCGAAAGCCUGACGCAGCAACGCCGCGUGGGGGAUGACGGCCUUCGGGUUGUAAACCUCUUUCGACAUCGACGAAGCCUUCGGGUGACGGUAGGUGUAGAAGAAGCACCGGCUAACUACGUGCCAGCAGCCGCGGUAAUACGUAGGGUGCGAGCGUUGUCCGGAAUUAUUGGGCGUAAAGAGCUCGUAGGCGGUUUGUCGCGUCGGCCGUGAAAACCUGCCGCUUAACGGUGGGCGUGCGGUCGAUACGGGCAGACUUGAGUUCGGUAGGGGAGACUGGAAUUCCUGGUGUAGCGGUGAAAUGCGCAGAUAUCAGGAGGAACACCGGUGGCG
rnacentral:rRNA from 1 species